UACGUAGGGUGCGAGCGUUAAUCGGAAUUACUGGGCGUAAAGCGUGCGUAGGCGGUUUCAUAAGCUUGAUGUGAAAGCCCCGGGCUCAACCUGGGAAUGGCAUUGAGGACUGUGGAGCUAGAGUGCGGCAGAGGGAGGUGGAAUUCCACGUGUAGCAGUGAAAUGCGUAGAGAUGUGGAGGAACACCGAUGGCGAAGGCAGCCUCCUGGGCCCGGACACUGAC
rnacentral:rRNA from 1 species